GGAUGAACGCUAGCGGCGUGCCUAAUACAUGCAAGUCGAGCGAACAGAUGAGGAGCUUGCUCCUCUGACGUUAGCGGCGGACGGGUGAGUAACACGUGGAUAACCUACCUAUAAGACUGGGAUAACUUCGGGAAACCGGAGCUAAUACCGGAUAAUAUAUUGAACCGCAUGGUUCAAUAGUGAAAGACGGUUUUGCUGUCACUUAUAGAUGGAUCCGCGCCGCAUUAGCUAGUUGGUAAGGUAACGGCUUACCAAGGCAACGAUGCGUAGCCGACCUGAGAGGGUGAUCGGCCACACUGGAACUGAGACACGGUCCAGACUCCUACGGGAGGCAGCAGUAGGGAAUCUUCCGCAAUGGGCGAAAGCCUGACGGAGCAACGCCGCGUGAGUGAUGAAGGUCUUCGGAUCGUAAAACUCUGUUAUUAGGGAAGAACAAAUGUGUAAGUAACUAUGCACGUCUUGACGGUACCUAAUCAGAAAGCCACGGCUAACUACGUG
rnacentral:rRNA from 1 species